rnacentral:lncRNA from 1 species
GUUGGAAGCUACAAAUUUAAAUAUCCGUUCAUUUGUUAUUUUGUUCGUAAAUUGAAUACAUGAAAAUACACCAAAUUUACAAAGGAAGUUCAAAGAAUGAAACAAGAAAAUGUUUGGUUCGUUAACCUUAAAAAAGAAAAAAGAACUAAAGAAUUAGUUUGCCUUUUAUGGUACAGUCCGCUGUUAAUAUAACUUAACUGUAGUUACUUCUGUAAUGGUAAUAACUAAUAAAGCAGCUUCAUUUACGAUUAGUAGCCAUUCCAAACUGCACCAUUUGCUCUGGAUAGGCAUUAUCAGCUGCAAGUGGUGGUGGCGGCGCCGCCGCCACACUACGCCCUGCAAAAUUCUUCUCGCUGAUAGAGCUCCGGCAUGGCCUACCACCGCUGCCGCCAACCCAUGUGCAGCCAUUUGGCGAAGGCGGCCGAACCGGGCGCCUCUGCAAGGAUGGUAACACUAGAUGUCCCAUUUUCAUCCAUCGCUUGUCUUCUUUUUCAAGAAAUCUUGCAGCUUCGUAGGGUUUAAUGUAUAAAAGAAAAAAUAUUGCCAUGAUAGUUAAGAAAACAUUUGGAGACCUCAUCCUGUUCAGAAAGCAAAGAGGAACUAAUUCUGGUAAAUAAAUGCGAAUUGGAGAUAUGUUUGUG